AAGAUGUUAAUUAAGCGGGGGUCGUGACAAAGCUUGGUAUCAGAGCAAAGGUUAAGAAGAGUCCUGUCAGAGCAACAGGGUGAAUCAGGAUUAAAUAUAGGAUUAUACUAUGGAGCAUAGGGUUUUCUGUAUGUUAUUUUAUGAGUCAUUUACAAUUCAGUAAAAUAUAUUUGGGGAUGAGACUUAAGAGUUCUUUUUUUUUUGGCUCUACUU
rnacentral:lncRNA from 1 species